rnacentral:lncRNA from 1 species
AUUAUGCUACAUGCUAAUUUCAACAAAUUCUAUCUUCCAUCAAGUUUCACCUUCAUGGCUUGUUCUUUACUUUCUAAUGUUGCUUCAAACUCAUUCUUUCACCAAAAUGCUCACUUUGCUACAAGAAAGAAGGUACACCGAGUGAGACGUUCAUAUCAUGAAGUUAAAUCAUCAAAAAAUCAUGGAAAAGUCAUGAAAAACUCAAGAUUUUUUUUGCAAUGUAGUAAUUUCAAUAUUUAUUUUUU